AGCAUAUAUUAAAGUUGUUGCAGUUAAAAAGCUCGUAGUUGAAUUUCGGGAUCAAAUUGUUGGUCGUGCUUCGGUACGCACUGGCAUUAUUGGUUUCUACCUUCUGAAGAACUGCGAUGUCAUUAUUUGGUGUCGUGGGGAAUCAGGACUGUUACUUUGAAAAAAUUAGAGUGUUUAAAGCAGGCGCACGCUUGAAUACAUUANCAUGGAAUAAUGAAAUAGGACGUUUGAUUCUAUUUUGUUGGUUUCUAGGAUUGACGUAAUGAUUAAUAGGGAUAGUUGGGGGCAUUAGUAUUCAAUUGUCAGAGGUGAAAUUCUUGGAUUUAUUGAAGACUAACUACUGCGAAAGCAUUUGCCAAGGAUGUUUUCAUUAAUCAAGAACGAAAGUUAGGGGAUCGAAGACGAUCAGAUACCGUUGUAGUCUUAACCAUAAAC
rnacentral:rRNA from 1 species